rnacentral:rRNA from 1 species
UAGGGAAUCUUCGGCAAUGGGGGCAACCCUGACCGAGCAACGCCGCGUGAGUGAAGAAGGUUUUCGGAUCGUAAAGCUCUGUUGUAAGUCAAGAACGGGUGUGAGAGUGGAAAGUUCACACUGUGACGGUGGCUUACCAGAAAGGGACGGCUAACUACGUGCCAGCAGCCGCGGUAAUACGUAGGUCCCGAGCGUUGUCCGGAUUUAUUGGGCGUAAAGCGAGCGCAGGCGGUUUGAUAAGUCUGAAGUUAAAGGCUGUGGCUAAACCAUAGUUCGCUUUGGAAACUGUCAAACUUGAGUGCAGAAGGGGAGAGUGGAAUUCCAUGUGUAGCGGUGAAAUGCGUAGAUAUAUGGAGGAACACCGGUGGCGAAAGCGGCUCUCUGGUCUGUAACUGACGCUGAGGCUCGAAAGCGUGGGGAGCGAACAGG